rnacentral:lncRNA from 1 species
GUGUGCAGUCUGAAGCUGCUCGUCUUAUUUAGUGAAACGAUUGCAAGUGAACUUGAAAGACACGCCUUCCAGUAACAGCGCAGCCAGUACACUGAAAACUCAGACUUACGCCUUCCGGUAACAGCGCAGCCAGUACACUGAAAACUCAGACUCAAGGAGAUGAUCAUAGUGCAGCGUUGUUUCCCUCCUUCUUUUACCCACUAGGCUGCUCCUCCAAGUUUCAAGGAGUCAAGUCUCAGUUUCAGCGGACACCCAUCUGCCCUCAGCGGCUGCCCACAGAAGUUGACUUGAUUCCUGACUUAGAAGCAGCUGUAAAAGUACAAUGCCUCCUAUUGCAGUCAGACACCCACCAAAGUGCCAAAGAAUUAAUGCUUUCGAACUGUGGUGCUGGAGAAGACUCUUGAGAAUCUUGGACAGCAAGAUCCAACCAGUCCAUCCUAAAGGAAAUCAGUCCUGAAUAUUCAUUGGAAGGACAGAUGCUGAAGCUGCAAUACUUCUGCCACCUGAUGCAAAGAGCUGACUCAUUUGAAAAGACCCUGAUGGGGGGAAAGAUUGAAGGCAGAGGAGAAGGGGUCAACAGAGGAUGAGAUGGUUGGAUGGCAUCACCAACUUGAUGGACAUGAGUUUAAGUAAACUCUGGGAGACGGUGAAGGGCAGGGAAGCCUGGCGUGCUGCAGUCCAUGGGGUCGCAAAGAGUCAGACACGACUGAGCGACUGAAUAAGAACAACACCCCACUCCAGCUGGAACUUUCCUCUCUGCUCUGGCUCAGGAGCUCACAGUGUUUUGUUGAGUUUGGUUUUGAUUUCUGAUCAUAAAGAGCAGAAGAAAGGUGGAAAAUAAGUGAUGGAAUGUGUAGGGGAAAUGAGAUCAGACGGAAGAGAAAAGCAAAGCUUAUGAAGAUAACGUAGGAGGAAUAACGGCAGGAGGUGGAAAGCCCGGGAGAAGGCGUACAGGAGACUCAGGAGAUGUUUCCGAGGACGUGGGAGACUCAGUGCAGAGUGUGGGGUGAGGACGUGACGGUGAAACAUUAACAACCACAGAACCCCCGAAGCCACACUGGGGCGUGAACACCGCUCUUCCGGGUCCGUCCUCAAUUUGGGCCCCCUCGGCCUGAGAUUCUCCGAGGUGGGGACCGC